AGUGAACGCUGGCGGUAGGCCUAACACAUGCAAGUCGAACGGCAGCACAGUAAGAGCUUGCUCUUACGGGUGGCGAGUGGCGGACGGGUGAGGAAUACAUCGGAAUCUACUUUUUCGUGGGGGAUAACGUAGGGAAACUUACGCUAAUACCGCAUACGACCUACGGGUGAAAGCAGGGGAUCUUCGGACCUUGCGCGAUUGAAUGAGCCGAUGUCGGAUUAGCUAGUUGGCGGGGUAAAGGCCCACCAAGGCGACGAUCCGUAGCUGGUCUGAGAGGAUGAUCAGCCACACUGGAACUGAGACACGGUCCAGACUCCUACAGGAGGCAGCAGUGGGGAAUAUUGGACAAUGGGCGCAAGCCUGAUCCAGCCAUACCGCGUGGGUGAAGAAGGCCUUAGGGUUGUAAAGCCCUUUUGUUGGGAAAGAAAAGCAGCAGGUUAAUACCCCGCUGUUCUGACGGUACCCAAAGAAUAAGCACCGGCUAACUUCGUG
rnacentral:rRNA from 1 species